AGAUCAGUAUCAGAUAAACCAGCUCACAUCCUCUCCAAGGAAGAAGUUGCACAGUCCAGAAACAGUCUGAAACAGAACAUCUGUGUGAAGAUGCUUCAAGAAGGUUACCACAGGUCGUUCUCCGAGGUUUUCUCUUUGCUGAAAUCUGAGCAGGAGUGGAGGGAGG